rnacentral:sRNA from 10 species
AGAAGGAGCGCGGCAUUCGGCAUCUCGAAAGGGGUGUCGAACCGCAGGUGACGCGCUUCUCGAUCGGUUUCCUACACUGGGAAGUGGUUGCGAACCAUUAAAGCAAAAGCCGUCACCCCUGGUCGAGCGCAACGACUUAACACUGCGGGCGCAAGCCAACGCAGUCGGUUGAUUCUGCAAGGAGUCACCGUUGAUCUCGGAGGAUUCGGAGGGCGUAAGCUGCCCUAGCCGGACGCAAAGCGGACGGGUCCGAUGAGGUCGAAAGCAAGAUCAGCAGGGAUGAAAUGCCACAUCUUAAAAAAGGCAGUCGUGCUGGAUACGCCGCAGUGAGAGCCGCGAGCGUGGACAAAGCGGGAACACCGGCUAGCUGCCGGGAGAUAUCCGCGCAAAGGCCAGCGAUGACGGCAUAGUCUCAGCCC